UUUGGCAGUCAUAUCACCCUAUAGCCCAUAGACUGGUUGCCCACUGAAGCUAAGCAGGGUUCAGUACCUGGAUGGAAGACCUCCUGGCAAAACUAGGUUGCUGCUGGAA
rnacentral:rRNA from 1 species